AAUCAACGCUGGCGGCGUGCCUAACACAUGCAAGUCGAACGAGAAAGUGGAGCAAUCCAUGAGUACAGUGGCGAACGGGUGAGUAACACGUGACUAACCUGCCUUCGAGUGGGGGAUAACCUCGGGAAACCGGGGCUAAUACCGCAUAAGAUCCUAAGGGUGCAAUUCCCAUGGGACCAAAGGGGUAAGACGCUUGAAGAGGGGGUCGCGGCUGAUUAGCUAGUUGGUGAGGUAACGGCUCACCAAGGCGAAGAUCGGUAGCCGGCCUGAGAGGGCGCACGGCCACACUGGAACUGAAACACGGUCCAGACUCCUACGGGAGGCAGCAGUGGGGAAUUUUGCGCAAUGGGGGAAACCCUGACGCAGCAACGCCGCGUGGAGGAUGAAGCCCUUUGGGGCGUAAACUCCUUUCGAUCGGGACGAUUAUGACGGUACCGGAUGAAGAAGCACCGGCUAACUCUGUGCCAGCAGCCGCAGUAACAC
rnacentral:rRNA from 1 species